rnacentral:rRNA from 1 species
AGUGAACGCCGGCGGUAGGCCUAACACAUGCAAGUCGAACGGUAGCACAGAGGAGCUUGCUCCUUGGGUGACGAGUGGCGGACGGGUGAGGAAUGCAUCGGAAUCUACUCUUUCGUGGGGGAUAACGUAGGGAAACUUACGCUAAUACCGCAUACGACCUACGGGUGAAAGCAGGGGACCUUCUAGGCCUUGCGCGAUUGAAUGAGCCGAUGUCCGAUUAGCUGGUUGGCGGGGUAAUGGCCCACCAAGGCGACGAUCGGUAGCUGGUCUGAGAGGAUGAUCAGCCACACUGGAACUGAGACACGGUCCAGACUCCUACGGGAGGCAGCAGUGGGGAAUAUUGGACAAUGGGCGCAAGCCUGAUCCAGCCAUACCGCGUGGGUGAAGAAGGCCUUCGGGUUGUAAAGCCCUUUUGUUGGGAAAGAAAAGCAGCCGGCUAAUACCCGGUUGUUCUGACGGUACCCAAAGAAUAAGCACCGGCUAACUUCGUGCCAGCAGCCGCGGUAA